rnacentral:lncRNA from 1 species
CUCCAGCCCUUGUGCUUGUGAGGAAGGCACCAGAACCACUGAGCUUAAUCAUCAGACCAGGAGUCAUUUAUGAUACAAAACACAAGAGUGACAAGUCAUGGAUCAAGGUUUCAGUCCACGAUUAGGUGGCUUCUGGCAAACUAAUGAUGCAGACGCUGA